AUUGAACGCUGGCGGCAGGCCUAACACAUGCAAGUCGAGCGGAUGAAGGGAGCUUGCUCCUGGAUUCAGCGGCGGGCGGGUGAGUAAUGCCUAGGAAUCUGCCUGGUAGUGGGGGAUAACGUCCGGAAACGGGCGCUAAUACCGCAUACGUCCUGAGGGAGAAAGUGGGGGAUCUUCGGACCUCACGCUAUCAGAUGAGCCUAGGUCGGAUUAGCUAGUUGGUGGGGUAAAGGCCUACCAAGGCGACGAUCCGUAACUAGUCUGAGAGGAUGAUCAGUCACACUGGAACUGAGACACGGUCCAGACUCCUACGGGAGGCAGCAGUGGGGAAUAUUGGACAAUGGGCGAAAGCCUGAUCCAGCCAUGCCGCGUGUGUGAAGAAGGUCUUCGGAUUGUAAAGCACUUUAAGUUGGGAGGAAGGGCAGUAAGUUAAUACCUUGCUGUUUUGACGUUACCAACAGAAUAAGCACCGGCUAACUUCGUG
rnacentral:rRNA from 1 species